rnacentral:rRNA from 1 species
GGCCUCUUCGGGGGUACACGAGCGGCGAACGGGUGAGUAACACGUGAGUAAUCUGCCCUUCACUUCGGGAUAAGCCUCAGAAAUGGGGUCUAAUACCGGAUAUGACAUCUCCAGGCAUCUGGUGGGUGUGGAAAGGUUUUUUCCGGUGGGGGAUGUGCUCGCGGCCUAUCAGCUUGAUGGUGGGGUAAUGGCCUACCAUGGCUUCGACGGGUAGCCGGCCUGAGAGGGUGACCGGUCACACUGGGACUGAGACACGGCCCAGACUCCUACGGGAGGCAGCAGUGGGGAAUUGUUCGCAAUGGGCGCAAGCCUGACGACGCAACGCCGCGUGGAGGAUGAAGGUCUUCGGA